UGCCAGCAGCCGCGGUAAUACAGAGGGUGCGAGCGUUAAUCGGAGUUACUGGGCGUAAAGGGCGCGUAGGCGGUUAAUUAAGUCAGUUGUGAAACCCCAGGGCUUAACCUUGGACGUGCAAUUGAUACUGUUUAACUAGAGUCGAAGAGAGGGAAGCGGAAUUUCCGGUGUAGCGGUGAAAUGCGUAGAUAUCGGAAGGAACACCCGUGGCGAAGGCGGCUUCCUGGCUUCAGACUGACGCUGAGACGCGAAAGCGUGGGGAGCAAACAGGAUUAGAUA
rnacentral:rRNA from 1 species